UACGUAGGAGGCGAGCGUUGUCCGGAGUUACUGGGCGUAAAGGGUGCGCAGGCGGCGGUUCGCGUGGCGAGAUGAAAUCUCCUGGCUUACCUGGGAGGAUGGUCGCCAGACGGGAUCGCUUGAGGGUCGGAGAGGGGCGUGGAAUUCCGGGUGGAGCGGUGAAAUGCGUAGAGAUCCGGAGGAACACCGACGGCGAAGGCAGCUCACUGGGACGGUACUGACGCUGAGACGCGAAAGCGUGGGGAGCAAACAGG
rnacentral:rRNA from 1 species